rnacentral:tRNA from 1 species
GGGAAUUUAGCUCAGUGGUAGAGUGCUUGCCUAGCAAGCACAAGGCCCUGGGUUCAGUCCCCAGUUCCG